UGAGGAACAUGACUUUCGGUGGGGGAGUAGCCGGCCCAACGGCCGGGUAAUACCGCGUACGACCUUCCGGGGACAUCCCUGGAUGGUGAAAGCAGCAAUGCGCCGAUGGAGUGCCUCGCGGCCUAUCAGCUAGUUGGUGAGGUAACGGCCCACCAAGGCGACGAUCCGUAGCUGGUCUGAGAGGAUGAUCAGCCACACUGGGACUGAGACACGGCCCAGACUCCUAGGGACGG
rnacentral:rRNA from 1 species